GAUGAACGCUGGCGGCGUGCCUAAUACAUGCAAGUCGAGCGAACAGACGAGGAGCUUGCUCCUCUGACGUUAGCGGCGGACGGGUGAGUAACACGUGGAUAACCUACCUAUAAGACUGGGAUAACUUCGGGAAACCGGAGCUAAUACCGGAUAAUAUAUUGAACCGCAUGGUUCAAUAGUGAAAGACGGUUUUGCUGUCACUUAUAGAUGGAUCCGCGCCGCAUUAGCUAGUCGGUAAGGUAACGGCUUACCAAGGCAACGAUGCGUAGCCGACCUGAGAGGGUGAUCGGCCACACUGGAACUGAGACACGGUCCAGACCCCUACGGGAGGCAGCAGUAGGGAAUCUUCCGCAAUGGGCGAAAGCCUGACGGAGCAACGCCGCGUGAGUGAUGAAGGUCUUCGGAUCGUAAAACUCUGUUAUUAGGGAAGAACAAAUGUGUAAGUAACUAUGCACGUCUUGACGGUACCUAAUCAGAAAGCCACGGCUAACUACGUG
rnacentral:rRNA from 1 species